rnacentral:lncRNA from 1 species
GAAGUCAUUGCAGAUGUAUUUAGCUGGGAUGAGGUCACACUGGAGUAGGUGGGUCUCUAAUUCAGGAUGACUGGGGUUCUUGUAAGAUGGCCAUGUGAAGACACAGAUGCACAGAAGGAGAAGAACAUGUGAAGAUGGAGGCAGAGACGGGGUGAUGCUUGUACAAGCCCAGGAACGCCAAAGCUCGCCGGCAGACCACCAGAAGCUGGGAGAGACGCCUGGACCAGAUUCUUCCUCCCAGCGUCAGAAGGAACCAACCCUGCUGACACCUUGAUCUCAGACUUCUAGCCCCAGAACUGCAAGACAAUAAGUUUCUGAUAUUUCAGCCACCACAUCUGUGGAAUCUCCGCAGCCCUCCCGUGUGCCUCUUUAGUGUGUCUGAGCUGGAGUGAUGCAGCGGUCCAGUAGCAGUUCUACUGUAAGAAACGCACCCCCCUGGCCGCACACUCAGACUUGAUGUAACCAACGGAACAGAGUUUCAGCAGCAGGAGAAGCCAGUGGCGGCAGCAGCCCCCAGAGACGGGUUCUGGAGCAGUCAGCUCCGAUUCCCUGGUGAGUGUCUCCUUCCUGGGGCGUGGUGCUAGUUCCAGCUCAUGUUAGCUAUGAGUCUUUGAGCUGCAAAUGAUGAAAAACUCGCCUAUCACUGACUUAGACAAUCAGGAUGAUUUAUGAAUUUCAACUUUCAGGUUGAAUUGAAAGAAACUGCCAUUCUUGUAGGUCAACACUCGUCAAGGUAUCAACAGUUUCAUAUGCUUCAAACCUCAUAAAAACCCCUCAGUAGUCUGGCUUCAAGAGAGGCAUGAUCCAGGAGCGUGGCCAGUUUCUCCAAGGACUCAGAUUUUCCCAGCCCUUCCAAUAUGCUUUUCAUGGGGACAGGCUCAUCACCAGAUCUCAGGAGUCCCUACCCUAGCAUGACCUAAGAUACCUCAUGAUGUCAAAAUGGCUGCAGCAGUUCCAGACAUACAUCUUGACACCAUAUCAUCCAGGGGAAGAGAAAUGGUCUCUUCUGACAGCACACGCAGGGGAAGGAAGGAGUUCCCCUUUCCCAGGAACACUGGCAAACAGCUCUCUUGCCUCCUUGGUUCUGAAAAAGUGGAAUAUUUUCCUACUAUUGCCAGGAGAUGGGAAUUUUUUUUUUUAGCUCAAGCUAAUCAGGACUCGACCUGGAGCUAGGAGUGAGGUCAAUCCCACCCAUAUCACAUAGUUGAGAAUAAGGGAGGCUAGUCUCCUCAAAGUCAAAUCUGGGGACUGUUACCAGAGGAAAAUAAAUAUUUAAUGGCAAAAGAGAGAUGUUCCCUGCAGGCUGCUGGCACUGAGGUGAGCAUGACCAGAACAAGCCUUUAGACGGAGUAAGCCCCCUGGGGGUUAGCAGCCACCUCAGGGCAGGAAGGUUUUGGGGCCAAGAACCUUACUUCCUGCUCAUAGGGGCUUGUGGGCUUCAAGCUGGUCUUUGCUUCCACACUGGAUAGUGGCAUUUGUACCCAGCUGGGGACACCAAACACAGGCCACGUGCAGCGGUCUCGGAUCCAGCUGGCCUCUCGGCACUCCCCACACCCCUGCUUGUGCCUCCAGGCAGCUCUCUGUGCCCUUCUCCACAGCAGUUGUUCCAAAUCUCUGUUCUCUCCACCAUCUCACUCUCAUUCUCAGCUGUGGCUUCAGGAAAACAGAAAACAAGAGGCGGGAAUUGCCAUUUCCCCUUUCCCUCCUCUUCCCUCACUCUGGUUCCCACCUCCUUGGCCCUUUUAGGAUGGAGAGCUCUCCUGCAGAGCUCUCCACCCCGGGACCUGUGGCCUCCAGUCAGCCCCUUCCCUCCACGUCCUCCACCUCUGCCUCGACACAGCGCUUCAGCAUUUAAAGAUGAUUCCAUCUCUCGCACCUUUAAAAUUCAAAUAAGGCAGAAACCCUCUGCCCCCUGCCCAUCCCCUCCAGCUGCUACCCUACCUCCUUCCUCCCAUCAGAGCCAAGGUUCCAAGUCUCUCCCUUGCGUCCACUGUGACCGUCCCUGCCCCUUCCUCUCUGUGGGAGCUGCUCCCCAUAAGGCCCACCAUGACUCUCUUGUCGCUGUUCUGGGGAAAAUUUUCAGUCGCAGUCUUAGCACACUGUUUCAGAGCACAGACUUCAGAGCCAGCCCAACCGGAGUUGGGUCCGGGCUCUGUCACUUGUUGGUGACCUGACGACCUCAGGCACUCACGUGGCUUCAGCAACCAUCCACAGCUGAUGGAUCAGCCCGUGUCUCCAGCCCAGACUGCAGAGCAUCGCCACCUCCCAGAUACCCAAGCCAGCCUCUGGGACUUCUCCCACUUGCUCAAAUGUCUUGACCAUUGUGUACCCCCAGUACUUUCCACAAAAACUGGCAUAUGGUAACUUCUCAAUAUGCCGAACAGAUGGAUGGAUGAACGAAUGGAUGGAUGGUCUCUGGUUAAGAGAUUCAGAAUGAGAGUAUAGAGUCUCAAGAUUACUUGAAAUCAUAACAAUAGUUGAUUUCCUGGAAGUAGUGUGAAGAGAGAAGCGCAGAUGGCACACGACAGAGCCUCAGGGAAGAACCCCCUUCAGGGGGUGGGAGGGCUAUUCCUCAGUAG